GUUCCGCUACGUUUACGAGUAGCCACUCCCGACAACCGUAAUAAUUAACAUCGAAUAACAAAAAGUUACCUUACGAUCGAGGUAGGAAAAUGAAAACAGAAUUAGUGCUAGCUAACCAACGACUUAAGAAGGUCAAAUACAGACAAAUAUGUGUUGGAGAAAAAAACGGCAGAUGUCAUACAUAAAAGAAUAGGAGAUAUUCAAUAAAUCUAUUUUGGAAUUGCAAUUACAAAGCAAGCUAAAUAUAUCUGUAAAGAUAUAAUAUACCUAAAAUGAACGUCUGCCGUACCUAGAGAAUUAUAAAAUAGAACCAAGCUUUUAACAUCCCACAAAGACAACUUAUAUGGAAAAUGCACUAAGAAUAACAUUCCUAUUAAUUAUCUGGAACGUAAAUCUUCCCUAAGAUGUGUAUACUCAUAGAGCCGCUUACCGUCUGAUAAACCGGCACGUCCAUAAGCCAACACUUGGAAUUAGAGCUGAAGGAAUUUCACCUAGAUUGGAACAAAGAUAAGUGUACUUAAUUAAUGUUCUCAUUUAUAGACCGAAUUGUGUUCCGCAAUAUAUUAUAUAUUUAUUCUA
rnacentral:lncRNA from 1 species